rnacentral:rRNA from 1 species
UACGGGGGGGGCAAGCGUUGUUCGGAAUUACUGGGCGUAAAGGGCUCGUAGGCGGCCAACUAAGUCAGACGUGAAAUCCCUCGGCUUAACCGGGGAACUGCGUCUGAUACUGGAUGGCUAGAGGUUGGGAGAGGGAUGCGGAAUUCCAGGUGUAGCGGUGAAAUGCGUAGAUAUCUGGAGGAACACCGGUGGCGAAGGCGACUACCUGGCCUGUUCUUGACGCUGAGGCACGAAGGUCAGGGGAGCAAACGGG